UCCUCUGCAAGAGCAGCCAGUGCUCUUAACUGCUGAGCUAUCUCUCUAACCCCUGCUCCUGAGGCUUUUGCAGAGGGAAUUACAUUCUAAAGAAAGCCACUGUGUGAUAUGUUAAUAAAAAGAAGAAAUAAACCAAAGACUCCUUGUUAGCUUUCUCGCUGACUAUCUGAGAUGGAAAACCAACAUAAUAUUUAACUUGGAGAAGCAAGCAGUAUCAUAGAAAGGACACCCAAACCCAGUUCAGCCCCUUUUGUCUACCCUGCCAUGAAAGUACCACUGAACCCAGCACCCCAAUGCACACGCAGUCGGCGGGAGUGAGGACCGAACUUCCGAUCUCACGUAUUCAAGGCAAGCACUGUGCCACUGGUUCACAUUCCCGGACCACCCACCACACUUUUGGUUUCCCGAUGAGUUGGUCUUGAACUUGCUGCCCUCCUCUCUUCAACCCCUGAAGUUGCAUGUGCCACACCUGUCUCCUUUGUCACUACAUUGAUGGUUAUUAGUUCUCACUUUGAGAAAGCAGCUUCAUGUCUUGCAAGACUUCAAGGUGUAUUUUCAAACAUCCUGCUAGGUGUGAAUUUGCACCUGAGACAGAAUACUGUCAAGAGGGCCGGAAGCAAUAUUCAGUCUGAUCCCAGAGUAUUAAUUAAAGGAGAGUCAAUAAGCAAAGACAGGCAUUUACUUAGAGUUAUUGCUACCAUCUGUCAACUUCUUACUUUGAAUGGAUUUCAUGGAUUAUUCAAAGAACUAGGAAAUAUGCUGGGGAGGCGGGGUGUAGAUAGUUACAUGGCCAAAACACUGAUCUCCUUUGUGUGUGUACGUGGUGGUGGUGGGAGCUGUCUGCUGAUAGAGAAGAAGAGACGCAAAGAACAAAGGAAAUGCUCUUUAAUUAAUCCUACCAGCUAAGCAAAAAUAAAUAGAACACUUGUUUCAGCAACAGCAGCAAACAGUUGACAACUGAGCGGAACCACCUGCAAGAGGCUGAGCACAGGCUGCCCAGAGAUCCCAAAUACUUUGUCCCGCACAGGGGUGGACAGUGUUCCGGGUAGGAUCAGAGUGGAAACAUGUUGAGCUGUGAGGCCGUACAGUCUCUGUUGCAGCUACACUCUGCGGCUGGGGCACAGAAGGGGCCAAAAACAACCCAGUAGACUGGAAUGCAGGGGUUGGUUACAAUAAAAAAUUAUCCAUACUAAAACGAGAUUUUAACUAAAAUGAAAUUUUCAUAUGAAAUUUCAUUUUUAUGCCAUAGAAUAU